UCAACCUUAAACUGUUCCGAAAGUCCAACACUGCUAUUCUCUCCAAGAAAUUUCUACUGGUUGCAUCUUCCUGGUGGCAAUUACAAGCAACUGGAAUCCUACAAAUCCAAACAAAUCCCACUCGAAAUAACCUCUCAAGUCUUUGUCAUGGGCUCAACUUACAAAAUGCAGAUGCACGUACACAACAAGUCUGAAAAAAUAAACACGAAAUCCCUGAUAAAUUUUAUUGAUUUCAGAGCUCAGGAUAGAAUGAAGCAGGAUGAUAAUGACUUUGAUGUAAAUUCCAUAAAUUUAGAAGAGGAAGGUAGAGUAAAGAAAAGAGAUGGAAUUUUGAGGAGAAUUCGGAGUUCUUUUUCAAGGGAGGACAACAGUAUUCAUGUAACGGAAAGAAACGGGGGGGAUUCAGGGGUUGCUUUCUUUCUACAUUUUUCAGUUAAUGCAGCCAAGAAGGAAGUGAGGGAUGGAGAAGACACCCGAAUUUUACCUGUUCACUAUUCGGAUAAUUACUUCUCCCUGGCACCCGGAGAGACCAUGCCUGUGGAGAUUAGAUUCGAGGCCCCACCUGGGGUCUCUCCUCG
rnacentral:lncRNA from 1 species